GAUGAACGCUGGCGGCGUGCCUAAUACAUGCAAGUCGAGCGAACAGACGAGGAGCUUGCUCCUUUGACGUUAGCGGCGGACGGGUGAGUAACACGUAGGUAACCUACCUAUAAGACUGGGAUAACUUCGGGAAACCGGAGCUAAUACCGGAUAAUAUUUCGAACCGCAUGGUUCGAUAGUGAAAGAUGGCUUUGCUAUCACUUAUAGAUGGACCUGCGCCGUAUUAGCUAGUUGGUAAGGUAACGGCUUACCAAGGCAACGAUACGUAGCCGACCUGAGAGGGGAAUCGGCACCACUGGAACUGGAACCGGGUCCAGAUCCCUCCGGAAGGCAGCAGAGGGGAACCUUCCGCAAUGGGCGAAGGCCUAACGAAGCAACGCCGCGUGGGUAAUAAGGUUCUUCGAUCCGUAAACCCCUGUAAUUGGGAAAAAAAAAACGUGUAGUAACUGUGCACGUCUUGACGGUACCUAAUCAGAAAGCCACGGCUAACUACGUG
rnacentral:rRNA from 1 species